rnacentral:rRNA from 1 species
UACGGAGGGUGCAAGCAUUGAUCGGAAUUACUGGGCGUAAAGGGUGCGUAGGCGGUCUGUUAAGUCGGAUGUGAAAUUCCACAGCUCAACUGUGGAACUGCAUUGGAAACUGGCAGACUGGAGCGUAAUUAGGGAAAACGGAAUUCCACAUGUAGCGGUGAAAUGCGUAGAUAUGUGGAAGAACACCGGUGGUGAAGACGGUUUUCUGGGUUAUUGCUGACGCUGAGGCACGAAAGCUAGGGGAGCAAACAGG